AUUCGCGGCCUAUCAGCUUGUUGGUGAGGUAACGGCUCACCAAGGCUAAGACGGGUAGCCGACCUGAGAGGGUCUUCGGCCGCACUGGGACUGAGACACUGCCCAGACUCCUACGGGAGGCAGCAGAGGAGAAUCAUUCGCAAUGGGCGAAAGCCUGACGGUGCGACGCCGCGUGAGGGAUGAAGGCUUUAGGGUUGUAAACCUCUGUCAGGAGUUAAGAACGCCGGUGGCGUUAAUAUCGCCACCGAGUGACUAUCUCCAAAGGAAGCUCCGGCUAACUACGUGCCAGCAGCCGCGGUAAUACGUAGGGAGCAAGCGUUACUCGGAAUCACUGGGCAUAAAGGGCGUGUAGGCGGGUGCGUUAGUCCGAUGUGAAAGCCCUCGGCUCAACCGGGGAAUGCCAUUGGAUACUGCGUACCUGGAGUGCGGGAGGGGAGAGUGGAACUCUUGGUGGAGCGGUGAAAUGCGUAGAUAUCAGGAGGAACGCCGGUGGCGAAAGCGACUCUCUGGCCCGUUACUGACGCUGAGGCGCGAAAGCCAGGGUAGCGAACGGGAUUAGAUACCCCGGUAGUCCUGGCCCUAAACGAUGGGCACUAAGUAGAGGAGGCUCCGAUGUCGUCUCUGCUGCAGCUAACGUGAUAAGUGCCCCGCCUGGGGAGUACGGGAAUCGUCGACCGCAGCCAC
rnacentral:rRNA from 1 species